UAAGGAAUAUUGGUCAAUGGAGGCAACUCUGAACCAGCCAUGCCGCGUGCAGGAAGACAGCCCUCUGGGUCGUAAACUGCUUUUAUUCGGGAAUAAACCACAUUACGUGUAAUGUGCUGAAUGUACCGAAGGAAUAAGGAUCGGCUAACUCCGUGCCAGCAGCCGCGGUAAUACGGAGGAUCCAAGCGUUAUCCGGAUUUAUUGGGUUUAAAGGGUGCGUAGGCGGCUUAUUAAGUCAGGGGUGAAAGACGGUGGCUCAACCAUCGCAGUGCCUUUGAUACUGAUGAGCUUGAAUACACUAGAGGUAGGCGGAAUGUGACAAGUAGCGGUGAAAUGCAUAGAUAUGUCACAGAACACCGAUUGCGAAGGCAGCUUACUAUGGUGUGAUUGACGCUGAGGCACGAAAGCGUGGGGAUCAAACA
rnacentral:rRNA from 1 species